CCCCCCCCCAGGCAGAGACCACCUUCCGGUCCCGCCCAGUUCACGUCUGGUGUGACCCAAUCGCAGCUCACCACUGAGUCGUCUCACCCAAUCGACACCGGGCAGCGCGGGGGCGGGACGGGGGCAGUGUGGCGGGAGGCCCCACCCCGCCGCGGCGGCCAUCUUGGGGAGGUCGUCCCGGCCUUACUGGGGACAGCCUGGCUCCGCUCUGGAGGCGGCGCUCCGGAGGCGGGGGUGGGUGUGGGGAGGCCGGCCUGACGUGGUUCCGGUGCCCCCUGGCAAGCCUUGCCAGUCCUCCUGCCUGAGCCACGGUCCCCGUCCCCGCGGGAGCUUCUUGACGCAAAAAACGCGGCCUGUUCCGGGGUCCUGGUUCCUUUCUAAAAGACCCACAUUUUUGCCGGUCCCUGGCGUUGAGAGAGCUGUGAGUUAAGAUUUCUGUGCGCGGGGACCAGGGUUCGAAGCUGCUAGAGCCGGAGACAUGGCUGCUGGUGUCUCAGAUGAGGCUCGUGAGGAACCCUUAAGAGACAGAAAACAGUUUCUGGAGGAAACGGCACGAUUCACUUAUAUGGUUAUUCUUGUCAUCCUUGUCACCAGUGCUGUCAAAUAGCAAUAUGAUGCGAUCCACACAUGUAUUCAAAGACUUACCAAUAGGCGCAGAAAAAGCCCCAGGAACUGAGAUAAAAUUUCAUAUGUUGUGUUCCGGAAAAUCACUUUGAGCAGAACCGAGGGUGCUUGCCAUCAAGAACUACUUUGGGGGAAGUUUCUGUUUACAGCCUUAGGCUGGGCGUCUUUCCGGAGUAGAGACUGUGACUUUCUCACUAAAUUGAUAUCAAAAUGAGUUUUGGCUCAA